CUCCGUAGGUGAACCUGCGGAGGGAUCAUUACCGAGUUAUCCAACUCCCAACCCCUGUGAAUUAUACCUUUAAUUGUUGCUUCGGCGGGACUUCGCGCCCGCCGGGGACCCAAACCUUCUGAAUUUUUUAAUAAGUAUCUUCUGAGUGGUUAAAAAAAAAUGAAUCAAAACUUUCAACAACGGAUCUCUUGGUUCUGGCAUCGAUGAAGAACGCAGCGAAAUGCGAUAAGUAAUGUGAAUUGCAGAAUUCAGUGAAUCAUCGAAUCUUUGAACGCACAUUGCGCCCGUCAGUAUUCUGGCGGGCAUGCCUGUUCGAGCGUCAUUACGCCCCUCAAGUCCCCUGUGGACUUGGUGUUGGGGAUCGGCGAGGCUGGUUUUCCAGCACAGCCGUCCCUUAAAUUAAUUGGCGGUCUCGCCGUGGCCCUCCUCUGCGCAGUAGUAAAACACUCGCAACAGGAGCCCGGCGCGGUCCACUGCCGUAAAACCCCCCAACUUUUUAUAGUUGACCUCGAAUCAGGUAGGACUACCCGCUGAACUUAAGCAUAUCAAUAAGCGGAGGAA
rnacentral:rRNA from 1 species